rnacentral:rRNA from 2 species
UGCAGUCGAACGACUCUGGUAUUGAUUGGUGCUUGCAUCAUGAUUUACAUUUGAGUGAGUGGCGAACUGGUGAGUAACACGUGGGAAACCUGCCCAGAAGCGGGGGAUAACACCUGGAAACAGAUGCUAAUACCGCAUAACAACUUGGACCGCAUGGUCCGAGUUUGAAAGAUGGCUUCGGCUAUCACUUUUGGAUGGUCCCGCGGCGUAUUAGCUAGAUGGUGGGGUAACGGCUCACCAUGGCAAUGAUACGUAGCCGACCUGAGAGGGUAAUCGGCCACAUUGGGACUGAGACACGGCCCAAACUCCUACGGGAGGCAGCAGUAGGGAAUCUUCCACAAUGGACGAAAGUCUGAUGGAGCAACGCCGCGUGAGUGAAGAAGGGUUUCGGCUCGUAAAACUCUGUUGUUAAAGAAGAACAUAUCUGAGAGUAACUGUUCAGGUAUUGACGGUAUUUAACCAGAAAGCCACGGCUAACUACGUGCCAGCAGCCGCGGUAAUACGUAGGUGGCAAGCGUUGUCCGGAUUUAUUGGGCGUAAAGCGAGCGCAGGCGGUUUUUUAAGUCUGAUGUGAAAGCCUUCGGCUCAACCGAAGAAGUGCAUCGGAAACUGGGGAAACUUGAGUGCAGAAGAGGACAGUGGAACUCCAUGUGUAGCGGUGAAAUGCGUAGAUAUAUGGAAGAACACCAGUGGCGAAAGGCGGCUGUCUGGUCUGUAACUGACGCUGAGGCUCGAAAGUAUGGGUAGCAACAGGAUUAGAUACCCUGGUAGUCCAUACCGUAACGAUGAUGCUAGUGUUGGAGGUUUCGCCCUUCAGUGCUGCAGCUACGCAUAGCAUCCGCCUGGGGAGUACGGCCGCAAGGCUGAAACUCAAAGG